rnacentral:tRNA from 1 species
GCCCCAGUAGCUCAGACCGGUUAGAUCGCCUCCUUGGUAAGGAGGAGGCCGCGGGACUUCAUGGACAUCUGCGCCAUGGAGCGCGAAUUCGAAUCCCGCCUGGGGCU